rnacentral:lncRNA from 1 species
GGGUCCUGUGUUUGAAUCCCGAUGAAAGCGUGGUUGAUAUUUUUGCUUGGUUGUCUGAUAGAGUUUUGGUUGAGUUAAAAUUUUGAGGGAGUUAUGAGUAGUGGGUUUGUGGGAGAUAAUUAAGGGAUUAUGUUGGUAUAUCUUCUUAUUUUCUUUUAUUUUUUUUGAAUUUUAAUUAGUUUCUCUCUUCUACCAAAAUUAACGUAAGUUCUUGUUCCCUCUCUACAUUUCUGUUAUUUUUAUUUUUAUUCUUCCUCUUUCUGGCGUAAUCCCUGUUCCUCCGUUCCUUUCAAUUUGCUUGUUCACUAUUAUUAUUCUUCGUG